GGCGUGGUGCCAGAGUGGUUAAUGGGUAUGACUAGAACGGCAUAACGCCUUGAUAUCAUAUGGUUUCGGCCGCGUAGGUUCAAAUCCUGCCCACGUCG
rnacentral:tRNA from 1 species